rnacentral:lncRNA from 1 species
AUGGCGAGAGCUGCCCAGCGGACUGCCGGGACCGCAGGGGCCGUCCCGGGAGCAGGCGUAUACCCCAGGUGUGGCCCCGGAAGUGCUCAUGCAGGGCCCUCAGAAUGUCACCGCGUCUGCACGUGGGGCUCCGCAGAGGAAAUCCAGGGCAAAGGGCGUGGCCAGGUGGCCCUGAUGGAGCACGAGGGGCAGCGUGGACACAGAGCCGCAUGGGGAGGCACACACGGGAAGACGGCCGUGGGAGCCAUGCCAGCGGGAGUACCUGGCAGCACCGGGAGCGAGGCAGCGACAGAAGCAGUUCCUACGGGCUCCAGAGGGAGGUGGCCCUGCUGGCACCUUGGUCCCUGCAUUCCCGGGCUCCAGCCCCCGGAGAAAGUGAACCACACCGCUUGUGGUCACUGUUAGAGCAGCCCUUGGCGGCUGACAGCGUGACCGCGAAAGCAGAGGUGGAAGGGGCGGUCACUGCGGCUGUGGCCAGUGUGGCUGGGGCUGGGGGCGGGUAAGGUGACCAGCAGGGCGUCUCCAGGUCUGGGACAAAGGUAGCAGGGGUGCUCCAACAGCACCACCCUCCCCUGGCUGUCCACAGCCCGCCCCCCCCCCCCCCGCCAUCUCCCGUGGCAGCAUGCCCAUGCCCCAGCUCCCUGCGUGGGAAUCUUCCAGGUCCUGGAACUUGGAGCUCCAGGCUCCUUCCUCUGUGACUCUUCUCCCUGGGACGUCCUCAGAAACCCCCCUGUCUCACUGCCCCUACUGGAGGGAUGCUGCCUCCGUGGCCUCGCCCGACCUCUGAACGCCCCUCUGCCCGGUCAUCGUCUGCCCUGGGCACUGCUGCCCCCCGUGCCUCCCGCCAGCUCCCAGCAUGGCGCUGGGCACGCAGAGGCCCCAUGCGCAGCGGGGGACUGAGCGGGAUUCGUGUGCUGCUUACGUAACGUCAGGAGUGGGGAGCCUGGACAAUGGUGUUGUUAUGCUUCUCCAAACUGCCGUAAGCGUCUCAUUAAGUAAUCGCGUGCCUAAUAUUGCCGGGAAAUGGUCUCUCAAUGCCAAAGCGGGAGACAGCAGUUUGCAGAGUACAGGAAAUGAUACAAUCUUGCUCAAAUCUCC